rnacentral:misc_RNA from 1 species
GAUGAAGAACGCAGCGAAAUGCGAUAAGUAAUGUGAAUUGCAGAAUUCAGUGAAUCAUCGAAUCUUUGAACGCACCUUGCGCCCCUUGGUUAUUCCAAAGGGCAUGCCUGUUUGAGUAUCAUGAACACCUCAACUCUUGUGGUUUCCCACAAUGAGCUUGGACUGUGGAGGUUUUGUUGGCCCUGUGGUCAGCUCCUCUCAAAUGGAUCAGCUUACCGGUGUUUGGUGGCAUUACGGGUGUGAUAACUAUCCACGCUCGUGGUCGUCUCCAAAUAACCUCCAGUGAUGGAGGUUCGCUGGAGCUUAUAAAUGUCUCUCCCCAGUGAAGACAGCCUUUGAACGUUCGAUCUCAAAUCAGGUAGGACUACCCGCUGAACUUAAGCAUAUCAAUAAGCGGAGGA